rnacentral:rRNA from 1 species
AUGACGGCGAUGCCAAACUCUGAGGAGAUACCAAAGGUGUACUGGGAUAAUCUUGUUGUGCUUUGUUUCUAUCUUCAUGAGAAGCAGAUCUUCUCAGCCGAACUUUUCUUGUGUGUGUGCGAGGAGCAGUUCUACUAUCUCUUCAUGCUUGAACUGAAAGCAAGAGUAGAAGCCCAUGAGAUGAGCCACAAGGAAAAUAUGCAUGAAAAUGGCACAAUCAUGAUUCAGUUUGGUCAGCAAGUACCUAAUUACAAGUCAUCAGCUAGCGAUUCUCCCCAAGAAGUGUUCGGAAUGAGCAAAGGAAGCUUUAAUGAGAAGAAUAUUGAUGUUGUACAAUAG